UCUUCCCUUUCCAGACCCACUGUCCACAUGCCCCUGUCAUCCUCUGCCCACUUCCAGCUCGGCCACCACUUCCCUGCAGACCCCACGUCAGCGCAGUGGGGAGCCGGCCAACAUUCCACAGUCCAGAGACUUACAGAGCAGGAAGCGGCGGGAGGGAGGAGGCCGCUGAGGCCGCUGGGGGAUGGAGGGGCUGGCUCAGAAGGACCCCGACUUCUGAGUGCUGUGCAAAAAAAGAUGAUUUCUAGGCAGAAGUAAGAACACAAAACCUCCAGCUUAGGACCGACUUUUCAAAAAAAAAAAAAAAGAAAGAAAGGAAGAAAGAAAAAGAGACAGUGGCAUUUGGCAUCUGAAGCACUCACUACCCACCCCAAGGAAUCACAAAGGACAUGAAGGUCGUCACUGCAUUCCAGGGACAAUAAGCAAACAAACCUUCAAACCAGUACCAACAACAGCAGCGCCCACCCCAUCACCUCAUACCCAGAAAAGGAAUCCACAGAACCGCGAUCUCUGAGGAUGCCCGCAAACCUGCCUUGGGGAGGGGGGGUGCCUACAGGGAGGCGGGAGGAGGGUCACCAAAGGCUGGGGGUGAAGCCUGCCUCCCACACCCCUCCUGUGCACCUGCAGGGAAGCCUAUUCUGAAAAGCCCUGCAGAGCCAGCCUGGGAGCCUGGGGACCUCACUGUCCUACCAGCCUGUCCCUUCCCUCCAGAUAAAGGCCCUCUCCCUCCUC